AUUCCUUGAAACAGAAACUCUCGUCCCGCCGUGGAGAGCCCUCCUAGCUUCCUUUCGUAUAUAUAUAUCCUCACUGUUCGAAGAGCAUGUCAAGUUAGGGUUUUUGCGGGAAGUCAUGUGAUCUACGACUCGCCCUCCUUACAGCCUCACGGAAUUUGGCGAUUCUAGGGUUGCGGAGGGGGUGAGGGAAUGACCAGAGACGGCAUGGUGUCGGUGGCGGCGACGGUGGAUUCCGCUAAGAAGAAGGCGGCGCAGGCGUCGAGGAGUUGGAUUCUGAUGGAUUCCGAUGGGGAGGGAACGAUUCUCGACGUCGACAAGUAUGCGAUUAUGCAUAGGGUUCAGAUUCAUGCACGGGACCUAAGGAUUAUUGAUCCAAUGCUCUCGUAUCCUUCCACCAUUCUGGGUCGGGAGAAGGCAGUUGUUCUUAAUCUUGAGCAUAUCAAGGCCAUUAUUACGGCGAAUGAGGUGAUGCUUAGAGAUCCUUUGGAUGAUAAUGUGAUUCCAGUUGUGGAGGAGCUUAGAAGGCGUUUGCCAGUGAGGAGUUCUGCCAAUCUAGCACAAUCCGAGGCAAGAAAGAACCUGGGAAGGAAUUAUGAUGCCGAACCUGCUGAAGAAGAUGAAUCUCCAUUUGAGUUUCGGGCCCUAGAAGUUGCUCUUGAAGCGAUUUGCAGUCAUCUCGAUGCACGUGCAACAGAACUUGAAAAUUCUGCUUAUCCAGCUUUAGAUGAGCUUAUUUCAAAGAUUAGCAGUCUUAACUUGGACAGAGUGCGCAAGCUAAAGAGUGGCAUGACAAGGUUGACUGCGAGGGUUCAAAAGGUAAGAGACGAACUUGAACAGCUACUGGAGGACGAUGAAGACAUGGCUGACCUUUAUCUCUCAAGAAAAUUGGCAGCAGCAGCAUCGCCUGCUAGUUCUGCUGCUCCUAACUGGGUGCCUGCCUCUCCGACAAUAGGCUCGAGAAUAUCCAAAGCAGGAAAGACAAGUGUGGCGACAUUUCAUGGAAAUGAUGAUGAUGUUGAGGAGCUUGAAAUGAUACUAGAGGCAUACUUUAUGCAAAUUGACGGCACCUUGAACAAAUUGAACACGUUGCGAGAAUAUAUCGAUGAUACUGAGGACUACAUCAAUAUUCAGCUUGACAAUCACCGAAAUCAAUUGAUUCAAGUAACUUUUUCCCUUACCAUUUGGAGCUGUUCUUGAGCUCUGGAACUUGUUCUCUUACCGUGUACUCGUUAUUAGCCGGAAUAUUUGGCAUGAACAUUCCAUACUCUUGGAAUGACGACCACAGCUACGUAUUCAAAUGGGUUGUCAUCUUUUCAGGAAUCUUAAGCGCCAUUCUGUUUUUAGGUGUGCUGUCAUAUGCUCGUUUCAGAGGUCUCAUUGGAACUUAGCUAAUUUUGAUCAGAAUGGCUUAAAAAAUUUGAUUCGUGAUAUUUAUAUUAUAUUUAAAUUUUAAUUUGCAGAAAUUUAAAAAUAAAAAAAAUAUUUACAUGUAAUUAGAAACAAAUUAUCAUUAAAAAAAUGGACACGUGUCACUUAUUUAUGAUCAUUCUGAUCAAAAUUGGAUCUUAAUGUUCCCACUCACUUUUUAUUCGAGCAUAGAACCUGUUCUUCAGGCUUUUGGCCGUGUUCUUUUUCCUUUCUUUCUCUCAAGUUUUUAACUUGUGAAAUUUGUAUAUUUCUGCUUUAUUUGUGGAUAGCCCAGAGCACCUGCAUUA